rnacentral:miRNA from 1 species
CCAGCUGCCAGCAGCGAGCGG